GCCAGGCAUGGUGGCUUAUGCCUGUAAUCCCAGUACUUUGGGAGGCUGAGGUGGGUGGAUCACCUGAGGUCAGGAGUUCGAGACCAGCCUGGCCAACAUGGUGAAACCCCGUCUCUA
rfam:Pan troglodytes isolate Yerkes chimp pedigree #C0471 (Clint) chromosome 9, whole genome shotgun sequence.